rnacentral:rRNA from 1 species
GAAGCUGGAGUUACUAGUAAUCGCAGAUCAGAAUGCUGCGGUGAAUGCGUUCCCGGGUCUUGUACACACCGCCCGUCACACCACGGAAGUUGGGGGCGCCCGAAGCCACUUAGCUAACCCUUUUGGGAAGCGAGUGUCGAAGGUGAAAUCAAUAACUGGGGUGAAGUCGUAACAAGGUACC